rnacentral:rRNA from 1 species
UACGAAGGGGGCGAGCGUUGUUCGGAAUUACUGGGCGUAAAGGCUCGUAGGCGGCCAACUAAGUCAGACGUGAAAUCCCUCGGCUUAACCGGGGAACUGCGUCUGAUACUGGAUGGCUUGAGGUUGGGAGAGGGAUGCGGAAUUCCAGGUGUAGCGGUGAAAUGCGUAGAUAUCUGGAGGAACACCGGUGGCGAAGGCGGCAUCCUGGACCAAUUCUGGACGCUGAGGAGCGAAAGCCAGGGGAGCAAACGGG